rnacentral:lncRNA from 10 species
GUGUGGCUGUUGCUCAGCAUUCACCCAACAACAUUUUUGAUGCAUGAUGCAUAUGGUGCUAAAUGCUGGGAAUGCAAACCUGAGUAAGUGUCUAUUUCAAAUCAAUAGGAGUACUUGAAGAUUCUCCCUGCUUACAAUGUAAACAUCAUGAAGAAAGAGAUGUGUUGGACUUGUUCAUCGCUAUAUUUCCUGGCUCAGAUCCUGGCACUGAGUAGACAUCAAGAAAUAUUUAAAUGAAUGAAAGAAUGAAUGAAUGAAUGAACGAACUGUGUCCUCUUGUAGAGCUGAGGGUGUUUUACCACUACCCUAAGAGCUGACACCAGGAGGUCUUGCUGCAAAGCCAGGCACUGUAUUCCACACUGUAUUUCCAUCAUCGCUUUUAAUGAGACUUCUUUGCAAAUAUGUAUGGUAUCUUUUAAAAUACCUGAUAACCAGCCAGCAGGGGUGGUCAGCUGCUACACUGGUAGCCACAAACAGAAUCCAAGACACAGAACUUCAUACGGUGUCACAGCUUCAUUUUCCAGGCUACAGCUCCCACUGCCCACAUCAGAACCAUCUGCAGGUCCAUAAGCUGUGAGUUUCUUUGGGAGUUGGGGGAGUGUCUUUUGGAUGUUUAUAACUUAUGCAUCUUAAUAUUGAAUGUGCACUUAAUACAUGGAACUUCAUAGUACUUGAUUUUUUAUGCAAAAAUGACUUAAUUAAAAUUUCUUGAAGAAACAUCAUAGAAUGAAUAUGGAGAUCACUUAAGUACCUUCCUGCUCUGUACAUAAUGAUAAAAUUCUGGUAGCUGAUCUAAAGCUAAGAAGAAUGUGGGAGGAAACAAAAUGCAAGUGGUUAGGUAACUGCUCUAUUUAUCGAUUUAUCUCUCGU